CUUAGGGUUCUGUGUUUCCUGUGGC
rnacentral:miRNA from 1 species